rnacentral:rRNA from 1 species
GCUUGUCUCAAAGAUUAAGCCAUGCAUGUCUAAGUGUAAAUAAGUCUAUACUGUGAAACUGCGAAUGGCUCAUUAAAUCAGUUAUCGUUUAUUUGAUGAUCUCUUACUACUUGGAUAACCGUAGUAAUUCUAGAGCUAAUACAUGCACAAAAUCCCGACUUACGAAGGGAUGUAUUUAUUAGAUGGAAACCAAUGCGGGGCAACCCGGAAUAUGGUGAAUCAUAAUAACUGUCGUAUCGAGCAAUCGAAGCGCCAUACAAGUUUCUGCCCUAUCAGCUUUGGAUGGUAGGGUAUUGGCCUACCAUGGCUUUAACGGGUGACGGAGAAUUAGGGUUCGAUUCCGGAGAGGGAGCCUGAGAAACGGCUACCACAUCCAAGGAAGGCAGCAGG